rnacentral:rRNA from 1 species
UACGGAGGGGGCUAGCGUUGUUCGGAAUUACUGGGCGUAAAGCGCGCGUAGGCGGACCUGCAAGUCGGGGGUGAAAGCCCGAGGCUCAACCUCGGAACUGCCUUCGAUACUGCGGGUCUCGAGUCCGGGAGAGGUGAGUGGAAUUCCUAGUGUAGAGGUGAAAUUCGUAGAUAUUAGGAAGAACACCAGUGGCGAAAGGCGGCUCACUGGCUCGGUACUGACGCUGAGGCGCGAAAGCGUGGGGAGCAAACAGG